rnacentral:rRNA from 1 species
CAACAGCUAGAGUUUGAUCCGUGGCUCAGGACGAACGCUGGCGGCGUGCCUAACACAUGCAAGUCGAACGGAGCUGUUUUGGAUUUUCUUUCGGGAAUUGAAGUUACAGCUUAGUGGCGAACGGGUGAGUAACGCGUGAGCAACCUGCCUUUCAGAGGGGGACAACAGUUGGAAACGACUGCUAAUACCGCAUAAUGUCAUUUGGAGGCAUCUCCGGGUGACCAAAGAUUUUAUCGCUGAAAGAUGGGCUCGCGUCUGAUUAGCUGGAUGGCGGGGUAACGGCCCACCAUGGCAUCGAUCAGUAGCCGGACUGAGAGGUUGAUCGGCCACAUUGGGACUGAGAUACGGCCCAGACUCCUACGGGAGGCAGCAGUGGGGAAUAUUGGGCAAUGGGGGCAACCCUGACCCAGCAACGCCGCGUGAGGGAAGAAGGUUUUCGGAUUGUAAACCUCUUUUACCGGGGAAGAAGAAAGUGACGGUACCCGGAGAAAAAGCCACGGCUAACUACGUGCC